rnacentral:rRNA from 1 species
GACGAACGCUGGCGGCGUGCUUAACACAUGCAAGUCGAGCGGAAGGGCCCUUUUGGGGUACUCGAGCGGCGAACGGGUGAGUAACACGUGAGUAAUCUGCCCUUCACUUUGGGAUAGCCACCGGAAACGGUGAUUAAUACCGGAUACGACCACCGUGGGCAUCCACUGGUGGUGGAAACUUUUUGGGUGGUGGGAUGUGCUCGCGGCCUAUCAGCUUGUUGGUGGGGUAAUGGCCUACCAAGGCUUUGACGGGUAGCCGGCCUGAGAGGGUGACCGGCCACACUGGGACUGAGACACGGCCCAGACUCCUGCGGGAGGCAGCAGUGGGGAAGAUUGGACAAUGGGCGGAAGCCUGAUCCAGCAACGCCGCGUGAGGGAUGACGGCCUUCGGGUUGUAAACCUCUUUCAGCACCGUCGAAGCGCAAGUGACGGUAGGUGCAGAAGAAGGACCGGCCAACUACGUGCCAGCCGCCGCUGUAACAC